rnacentral:rRNA from 1 species
UACGUAGGGGUGCAAGCGUUAUCCGGAAUUAUUGGGCGUAAAGAGCUCGUAGGCGGUUUGUCGCGUCUGCUGUGAAAACUGGAGGCUCAACCUCCAGCCUGCAGUGGGUACGGGCAAACUAGAGUGCGGUAGGGGGAGAUUGGAAUUCCUGGUGUAGCGGUGGAAUGCGCAGAUAUCAGGAGGAACACCGAUGGCGAAGGCAGAUCUCUGGGCCGUAACUGACGCUGAGGAGCGAAAGCAUGGGGAGCGAACAGG